GUGUUUGCUUCAGCAACACAUAUACUAAAAUUUAAACUGCAGAGAUUAGCAUGGCCCCCUGCACAAGGAUGACACACAAAUUUGUGAAGUGUCCCACAGAAAG